UGAGGAAUAUUGGACAAUGGGCGCAUGCCUGAUCCAGCCAUGCCGCGUGCAGGAAGAAGCAUCUAUGGUGUGUAAACUGCUUUUGUACGGGAAGAAACACUCCUUCGUGAAGGAGCUUGACGGUACCGUAAGAAUAAGGAUCGGCUAACUCCGUGCCAGCAGCCGCGGUAAUACGGAGGAUCCAAGCGUUAUCCGGAAUCAUUGGGUUUAAAGGGUUCGUAGGCGGUUUAGUAAGUCAGUGGUGAAAGCCCAUCGCUCAACGAUGGAACGGCCAUUGAUACUGCUAGACUUGAAUUAAUAGGAAGUAACUAGAAUAUGUAGUGUAGCGGUGAAAUGCUUAGAUAUUACAUAGAAAACCAAUUGCGAAGGCAGGUUACUACUAAUGGAUUGACGCUGAUGGACGAAAGCGUGGGGAGCAAACA
rnacentral:rRNA from 1 species